rnacentral:tRNA from 1 species
GUCGUCGUGGCCGAGUGGUUAAGGCGACCGACUAGAAAUCUGUUGGGCUCUGCCCGCACAGGUUCGAAUCCUGUCGGCGACG